ensembl:lncRNA
GCCGUAGUACCUCACCAGUGAAAAACAGUCCUAUAGCCAAACUGUUGUCUGUUCCACUUUUUGUUCACUUUUUCUUGCUGAGCCUGAGAGAGCACAUGCCUUUUUACAGUGCUUCAACAGUAAACAUCUAAAACGUAUCCGCUGACUCCUGGAUGUUUAUUGUGGACCUGUUAGCUAUCUGCCAAGCUAGAAACCAGCUUCACACCCUAGUGAGGGCAGAAUAUCCAGAUUGGACGACUGUAACUCCCUCUACUCGGGCCUCCAACACUCUUCUCUUUGCCGGCUCCAGUUAAUUCAAAAUGCAGCUGCGCGUCUUUUAACCAAGAGCACCUGGCUGCAGCCACUGUGGAGCUCCACGGUAACCAGAAACACGUAACUUCAGUUAAAUCGACUUUGACAGCGAAAACUAAAUUGCGUUUUUGUUACUAUUGAUGCUGCUGAGAAAUAAAAAUGGUUUUAAGUGGGGGGUUUUUAACACUCUGGGUUUGUUCAAAAAAAUUCACCAUCCCCUAAAUUGUUCGUGGCCAAAAGUGUACAGUGGUCCCUCGCUAUAACGCGGCGCACCUUCCGCGACACUUGCUGUUUCGCUGAUUUAUUUAUUUGUUUUACAGUACAUCGUGUUGUGCGUUCUGAUUGCUGUAGACCAUUGUCAAUCAAUCUAGUCCAGUGUGUCCUGUACAGGAGCGGUCCCUAAUAGGCCCACGGACGGGUCCCGGUCCGUGAGUCCUUUGGUACCGUUCUGCGAUAGUUGAUCCUCCGAUGUGAAAUGUAUGGUUGUAGUUGUGUGUCUUAUUUUGAAAGAACUAUUUACGCGUUACCAUAGCGACCAGAGAGCAUUAAGAAGCAGAGAGGAGGAUGUCACUGUCAUUGUUGUUGGCACACAGCUCAAGUCACGUUUAUUAUUAUAUUUACAAAAUACCACAGUUUCUUUUUUAAAUUCUUUUGUUGUAUUUAUCCGCGACACCUUAAAGGUCGUUCCCUGAAAAUAUUGUCUGACAUUAAAGUGGUCUGUGGUGCAAAAAGGUUCGGGACUCCUGCUGUACAGUACAGAAUGCGUUUAGCUUGUCGAAUUUACAUAUAUCUUCGCUAGCAGUGUAACUCUGAAGUGCUGUACUGUAUGUUUGUAAGUUUUCUCCCAAACAAACACAACAAUGCCGACGAAACGUUUUGCACCCUCAAAUGCACCUUUAGGUUUCAUUCCAUGAUACUGGACUUAUGUUUCUACGAAGGUUUGAACUCUAAGAGUGUUUAAACAAAAGAGAAAAGUGUGAAAAUGUUCAUGUCUGUCUGAGAAAAGUGUAUAAAGCAUGUAGUGAGGGGUUUUACAGUCUUAACAUCUGUAAUAAUUGUAAAAAAUAAAGUUGGCUACUUCAUGGAUUUCACCUACCGCGGG